GUGGUAUAAGUGACUCAUUAUCUAAAGUUAUGGUUGUAACUGUCAAGUCCGGAAUCCAGUUUCUAAGCUUUAAAUUGGCUGGCCAAAUGCCCAAGUCGUCGAAGCUUACUAUUUACUCUAAGUUGCAAGCUUAAGUCUCAAGCUCCAUGCAUGAAGUGUGUUCGAUAAGCUAUUUUUUCGCGCCUUUAGUUUUGAGAACAAAGUCAGUCUUAGAAAAAUUCAAGCAAUUGAAAUCAGUCUUAAAUUAAAACUCAGUUCAAUCAAUACGUUCAUGAGUUGAAUUUAUCUAGAAGUAUUAUCUUUAUGAGCAUGACGUCAUAUCGAUUAUCACAAAGAAAGUGCUAAAAAUAUUUCCAACAUUUUGUUUCAUUAAUUUAACACCAAACUGAAAGUUUAGUAAUCCGGGAUAACGCAAUAUUUCGUUAUAAAAGGCGUUGAAUCGAAGUUACCAAAUUACAGUUACACAGUGAAAUCAGCAGAUAAAUUUGUAUUUAUUUUACUGAGCAGAAAUAUAUUGUAACGUAUAUAGUUUACUAAUAGGACUCCGCCAGAAAGAGCAGCAGUCAGAACCUUCGAGAGUGAAGUUAGAACAACCAGAAAAAAAGGAACACAGAGAAAAAGAUGGCAUGAUAAGAGUGUUCGACAAGAUCUGAGAGAUAUAAAGAUAUGAAUGUCACUUAGGUCCUACAUGGACCUAAUAACUAUGAAUGAUGAUGAAUAAAACUCUGCCGGGAUUUAUAUACAAAUGUUGACCGGAAUUGAUGUUUGGUUUAAUUUUAUUUACCUAAUAACCAAUUUUUUAAAACAUAGUAAUAUUACAAGAAGAAAUUUUUUGUUAGCAUAUUUAUUGUAACUAAAUUAUAAGCAUAUAUGACAACCAUAUCCAAAUUUAUACCUACGAACUUUGUUUACAAUAAAAAUUCAAUUGAAAAAUUAAUGAUAUUAUUAUCAAAUUCAAAAGUUCUCAAAUUUAAAAGAAAUCUCAAAUUCAAGCGAACUCAGUACAGGGUUUAAGCAUGGGUUUGAAUUGGAAACGUUUUCAAGAGUUUCUUACUACAUUAUAAAUAAAUUUUAUCAUUUGGUGGCAUGUAUAUAUGUAAUAUAAA